rnacentral:rRNA from 1 species
CUUCCUACGGGGCGCAGCAGUGAGGAAUAUUGGUCAAUGGGCGGAAGCCUGAGCCAGCCAAGUCGCGUGAGGGAAUAAGGCCCUACGGGUCGUAAACCUCUUUUGCCGGGGGGCAAGAGCCGGGACGUGUCCCGGCCCGGAGAGUACCCGGAGAAAAAGCAUCGGCUAACUCCGUGCCAGCAGCGGCGGUAAUACGGAGGAUGCGAGCGUUAUCCGGAUUUACUGGGUGUAAAGGGUGCGUAGGUGGCAGGGCAAGUCAGAUGUGAAAGCCCGGG